CUCAAAAACAAAAACAAAAAUAUUUGCAUUCUUUUCUUACUACUGUCUAGGAGGUGAAGAUCGAGAACUUAUUCAGAGAAAGAAAGAGAAAUAUAGACAAGAACUAUUGGAACAAAUGGCUGAGCAACAGAAAAACAAGAGACGAGAAAAAGAUUUAGAACUCAGGGUUGCAGCUUCUGGAGCACAAGACCCUGAGAAAUCGACUAAAGCAGUUUCGUGUGGCACCAAGACACUUUGAAGAGACGAUACCACCUGAGAGACCCAGAGUAGCUUUCCAGACACCUCUCCCUCCUUUAUCUGCCCCAUCUGCCCCACCCAUGCCAUCAGUUCC